UGGUGUAAUGGCAACCGUUUCUGGUUCGUAUCCAGAAGGUCCUGGGUUCAAUUCCCAG
rnacentral:tRNA from 1 species